rnacentral:rRNA from 1 species
GACGAACGCUGGCGGCGUGCUUAACACAUGCAAGUCGAACGGUGAAGGGAUCAGCUUGCUGGUUCUGGAUGAGUGGCGAACGGGUGAGUAACACGUGAGUAACCUGCCCCCUUCUUCUGGAUAACCGCAUGAAAGUGUGGCUAAUACGGGAUAUUCUGCGCCUGCUGCAUGGUGGGUGUGGGAAAGAUAUUGUUUCGGUGGGGGAUGGGCUCGCGGCCUAUCAGCUUGUUGGUGGGGUGAUGGCCUACCAAGGCGGUGACGGGUAGCCGGCCUGAGAGGGUGGACGGUCACACUGGGACUGAGACACGGCCCAGACUGCUACGGGAGGCAGCAGUGGGGAAUAUUGCACAAUGGGCGCAAGCCUGAUGCAGCGACGCCGCGUGAGGGAUGGAGGCCUUCGGGUUGUGAACCUCUUUCGCCAGUGAAGCAGGCCUGUCCCUUGUGGGUGGGUUGACGGUAGCUGGAGAAGAAGCGCCGGCUAACUACGUG